rnacentral:pre_miRNA from 1 species
UCUCAUGGAUGAGCAAAGAAAGUAGCUUCUUGAGAUGCAAACUCCUCCUGGUGAAGAUGCUGUGAA